CAGAGGGAGGAGCACGGAGGUGCCCGGCCGAGGAGGCCUCGAGCCCCGGGCGCAUGGCCGAGGGUGCGGGCACUGCGCAGGGGGCCCCAGUUGAGCCCCAGCGGGAUAGGCCUCACGUAAAGGUUGAGCGGCUCCAGGGUCCGCAGGGUUCCCUCCCUUUGGCCAUACGGAUCCCGCAGAGCUCCCCGAGCAUUCUGGGCAGGGUCGGCCCAGGAGGGGAUCGCGCUCUGGAGACCUCCAAGGCCUGGAGGAGCCGGCUCAGAUUGCUGCCCCAGCACAAGCCCAGCCCAGGAGGUCAUCUUGGUGCUGACUCAUCUCAAGGCUUUCUGGCACCAGCAAACAGAUGUGGAGAGUAUUGGUGUCAUCCUGACACAGAACUGGAGAACUUGCUCACAAAAUCACCCUGGGAUGAAACUUGGAGAAGUUGGAGGUCUCUGUCUUUGGAGGGAUCCAAGGCUUGCUACACAGCCAAGGCAAACCUGAUGCUGGAUGUCAGCCAUGAGAUUUCCCAUCCCCUUCUGCCAGCACUUCUGGGACCAUCACUGACCCCUUUCCACUCGUGUUCACCACUUGCUUAUUGAAGGUGCAAGCAUCAGGCCGAACAGGUAUCCCAAACUUCACUGUGCCAUAUCUUCAGACACCAAGCCUUGGGAUGUCUUCCAUAAAGCGGUGCUGGUUCCCAGCCCUUCGGCCCCUGUCCCAGUCAGGAUAGAGAGGGCACCACCACCUACCCUGCUCUGCAGGGCUGGAGCCACAGUCUCAUGUCCAGCCUGCCCAUCUGCAGCCAUUUCACACCACUCACACUCUUGCCAGUGCUGUCCCUUAGCCUAUACAGCUCUUCUCCCCAUAGUGGGAGCAGACAGCAGCCUGAUCCUUGCAGCCUCGGCCUUCCUGACCUCAGGGUGCUGGGCUCUCUGGGUCUUCUCCCAGGGGAUAUACUCCCUGCUUUGACUGUCCUGCUGGAUGUUCUCCUAUUACUGCAUCUCCUCUGUCUGAAGUCCUUCAGCAUGCAGAUGCCGGUUGGCAUGGUGACCGGCCUCAGGAGAACCCAUGGCUGACAAGCACAAGCAAAUCUGGCCUCGUGUUUCGUCCUGAUCCUUUAUAGUUAUAACUGGCCAAAGCAUGAGAAAAAGUGUGGCAGUGGAUGUACAGAUCUUGCCAGACUUUGAACAUCCUCCUGUAGCAGCAGCUUCCACAGUAUGCCAAGGACAUCAUGGAGAGCAUGGCUCACAGAGGAUGUUAACAUGGAUUUUGGUUAGUCUUCACAUGUUUCCCUGACUCUCUCAGGGUCAUGAGGUGGGGUGAGUGCCCCUCAUCUGGAGAUGACCAUCUUGUGGGCAGCCAUUCCCAGUCCACUUGAGCCUUCUCCUGCAGCAGGACAGGGAGCAGAGGUGCCUGAACGGGAGACCCAUGUCUCCCUUUUCCCAGUGUUUUUUCAGAUUUCCAAUGCUGAACAUCUUUAAUUUGGCCUAUUCAGCUUAGUCUCACAUUCACCUGCUGCCCAGAGCCUGGCACCUCUGCAGCUCCUGCCAUUAAACUUCUUCCUGAUGAAAAUGGAUGACUGAGCCUGAAUUAUCAUCCUCUGUCUUCCAGGUGCUUUGUGCUUCUUAUGCUUUGGUCUGGUCUGGCAGCUCCUGUGCUGGAGGGACCUCUGGAUGGACUGUACAGAGAGGAGUUUUGGGGAUGCCUUGGCGAUGAUCAGAGCAAUGUGCUGAGUUGUGCAGUGAGGAUUAGUGGGCCCUCAUUACGCUUCAGCCUUUGGAAGAGUGGCUGCUUUCAUGGGUUGCGUCCACAUCCCUGUCCCUUCUCCCCUGGCUCCCUUGCCAAGUCUCAGGAUGGACUGCUCAGGGCCAGUAACAGCUUUGUGCUUAAUCGCUCUGUAUGUGCAUCCGAUCCCUGCAGAAAUCUCUGACCAUUGCCCAGUUUAACCACAUCCGAGGAAAACUGUGGUUCUGAAGCACUCCAUGUACCUGCAAGUGCAGUGAAGGCAGAAAAGCUGGACCCAGGGUGUGCAUUAACAACCAAAUCCCUCGGAGGCCGUUUCCUCCCUGUGUCACUCCCAUCAGUGCCCCAUUAGCACUACCCCAAUGGCUGAAUGCCCUGUGCCUACCUCAGGGAGCAUCUGGGGGUGCAGUGACUCUCAUCACUCAAGAGUGAGCUCCUGUCUGCUGUCCCUUGUCAUGAGGACCAAACCCUGGGCAAGGCCUCUGGGUGCUUUGAAACAAAUCCUUUUGGCCUCUCCAUUGCUGUGUCUCCACUUCAAGUCUUACUGGUGAUCUACUGUCUAAACCUGAGCUACUGGCCUUGGACAGCACUGAGCUACCCACAGUGAGAAUAAGGUCAUUUCAUCCUCAGUGGCAUCCUAGGAGGACCAUGAGCUGCUGGCAAGCUCACCCCCACCGGAGGCCCUGGUACCUUGCUUUGCAGAGUUCACUGCUGGCUCAGUCCCAUCCUCAUCCCAUGGCCACCAGCACCCAUCCAGCCAUGUGUUUUACAUUCGUUGUUAAUCACAAGCUUAAGCCAUGGGCCCAGCUUGCCUGUCUGUCCCCUCCUGCCUUGCUGUGGACCAGGCACGGGCUCCCACCCAGCCUUGCCCUGGGGCAGCCCAUUGCUCAGGAUGGGCCAUACCCAAAGCCUGAGUGACCAGUGUCCCCUGCUCACCUCCAGCAUCCACAGCUGGCAGCCAGGAUGCCACCUGGACACAUCUCAGCUCGGUCCCACCAGCUCCUGCCUCCUCCAGCCUGAGCACCCUGCAGCAGCUGAGCCGUGGCCACAUGGUCCCUGCUCAUGUCCCACCUGCCCUUUGCUGCCAUUGGUUUUCCAGUUCCUCGGCUCCAGUCUCUUGCUUCUCCAGGUUUGGAGGACAAAGUGUAACCAUGCAUUGCUCUCCACCUCGCCUCCCUGGCAGCACUGGCCCUUUGCAGUGCAGACAGCUUUAUUCCCGCAUCAGUUCUAUCCCACGUCCUUGCAGGAAGGUGACUCCCGCCAAUCCCAGGGGACCCUGCCAACGCAGGAUAGCUGUUCUGGGGGGAGCCACCCCAGCUUCAACUCCCUAUGGGAACCAUCACCCCAAAACCAGGCACGAGACAAACCUGCCCUUGCAGUCCUCUGUGCCCCCAUCGCCCUGAGGUGAGGAGUGAGAGUCCCAUUGGGGUCCUGGUGGGGUCCCAGAGGGGUUUUGGGACUGGCUGGAGCUGGGAACAUCCCUGUGCUCUUUGUGCCCCCCUGACGAGCGGCGCAGUGCAAAUAUCAGCCGGGUGCUUUGAAAUGAAAAUAAAACUGAUAAAAGUCGGGCA
rnacentral:lncRNA from 14 species